rnacentral:rRNA from 1 species
ACGGCUCAGUAACACGUGGCUAACCUACCCUCAGGACGGGAACACCCUCGGGAAACUGAGGCUGACUCCCGAUAGAUGAUGGAUCCUGGAAUGGUUCUUCAUCCAAAUGAUAUGUGGUUCAUGCAUCGCAUAUCGCCUGAGGAUGGGGCCGCACCCUAUCAGGUAGUUGGUGGGGUAAUGGCCCACCAAGCCUAUAACGGGUACGGGCCUUGAGAGAGGGAGCCCGGAGAUGGGCACUGAGACAAGGGCCCAGGCCCUACGGGGCGCAGCAGGCGCGAAACCUCUGCAAUGCGCGAAAGCGCGACAGGGCCACCCCGAGUGCCAUCCGCUGAGGAUGGCUUUUCUCUGGUGUAGUGAGCCAGGGGAAUAAGCGGGGGGCAAGCCUGGUGUCAGCCGCCGCGGUAAUACCAGCUCCGCGAGUGGUCGGGACGAUUAUUGGGCCUAAAGCGUCCGUAGCCGGCCUAGCAAGUCUCUGGUUAAACCUCAGGGCUCAACCCUGAGAUCGCUGGAGAUACUGUUAGGCUAGGGGGCGGGAGAGGUUGAGGGUACUUCGCGGGUAGGGGCGAAAUCCUAUAAUCCGCGAAGGACCACCAGUGGCGAAGGCGCUCAACUGGAACGCGCCCGACGGUGAGGGACGAAAGCCAGGGGAGCAAAGGGGAUUAGAUACCCCCGUAGUCCUGGCUGUAAACGAUGCGGGCUAGGUGUUGGGUUGGCUUCGUGCCAACCCGGUGCCGCAGUGAAGGCGAUAAGCCCGCCGCCUGGGAAGUACGGCUGCAAGGCUGAAACUUAAAGGAAUUGCGGGGGAGCAC